rnacentral:rRNA from 1 species
UUUAAAGAGAGUUUGAUCCUGGCUCAGGACGAACGCUGGCGGCGUGCCUAAUACAUGCAAGUCGAACGAACGGAGGAAGAGCUUGCUCUUCCAAUGUUAGUGGCGGACGGGUGAGUAACACGUGGGCAACCUGCCUGUAAGUUGGGGAUAACUCCGGGAAACCGGGGCUAAUACCGAAUGAUAGAGUGUGGCGCAUGCCACGCCUUUGAAAGAUGGUUUCGGCUAUCGCUUACAGAUGGGCCCGCGGUGCAUUAGCUAGUUGGUAGGGUAAUGGCCUACCAAGGCAACGAUGCAUAGCCGACCUGAGAGGGUGAUCGGCCACACUGGGACUGAGACACGGCCCAGACUCCUACGGGAGGCAGCAGUAGGGAAUCUUCCGCAAUGGACG